UUUCCUACACGGAUCUGGUGUACGCGGGAUAGGUGAUCCUAGGUGUACGACAGGUGCGUUGACAGGUGGUGUGCGCGGAUCCUAGGCUCAGUUCAGUGGAAUCAAUCACAAAGUGGAAGGAGGUCGACGAGGCAGUGGCCGCUCGAGGUAUAUGCGACCGUUCUGUUCUCCUCCUCUCGUUUCGGGACCACUGAGCCAGUAGGGAUAGCUAAGAGCUAGCCGAUCGUGGAACCAAACGAGGCGAGGCCGGUCUAAAGCCGACUCGUAGGCAUGCAUGCUCGGUCCUAGACAUGCUCUGAGUACCUCCUACUGGAAGGAGAGUUUUCUUUCUCUGACCUCCUCCUGGUUGCAUACGACGUCGCAUAUGAACUGCCUCGGCUGCUGGGUUGCCUAGAUGGUAAUGUUGAGAAUUUCCUGUAGUGCUUACUAAAGAGACUUCCGUCUUUUUAGCCGGUCCCACCUAGACCUCGCCAAAUGCUCCCACAUGAUCCUCUUGACUAAUAACGGCACUUCUCCUAGAUACAUUUGAAUCUAUUCGAACUACUACUACUGUUCGUUAAACCAGCACUCAAAUCAUCGAACACGUUGUACUUAGUAGUUUUACAUCAGGCCAUAGAACCGAAGACAAGAUUGUAUGUAGUCUUUGUCUAUUCUUUGAGACACAGUCCUCUUUAGUGGAACCGAUUGCACUCUCUUUCUAACAAAACAAAGCUCAUGUAGUCGUUACCUUCGGACCUAUUCGUAUAAUGGCUACUUAAUUCUCCGAAACUUACCCUUUGUGCAAUACUUAAUUAGUAGCCCUAAACGUUCCCGGACGCAAUAGAAGUACUCCUUUUUUCCUACUAAGUGUACCUGGAAUUUGGCCUUUUAUAUAAUGAACUAUUAGUUUUAAUGUUUAUAUAUCAAGGUUUUUAGUGCCUAAAACCAGAUAGUUCUGGUUUAUUUUUGAGCGUGUGACAUCCAGUUGAAAUGCCUUGUGCACCUAUGUACCGAGGUCUUAUGUCCCUUCCAUCGUUUUGAUGUGGACGCACACUAUAUAUAUCAAACCCACGGUAUUAGUCCCUUAACCAUUGUCCCACAUACCUUCAGGGAACGUUUCUAUUACAUGAAGCUUCCACCUCCGUAUCCACCCCCUUCGGUGGCUGUAAUAACGUUAUGGUCGUUCACUGAUCUACGUAACUUUAUCGUCCUAAAACGUCCCGUCUUUUUGGUCUUCGAUCUGGAAGAUAUAACUUCUAUUAGUCGAAAGACCCACUUAGACUUUCGUGUAUACCGGUCCAUUAGGGAACAAAUCUACUUCUACUGUACGAAGCCUAAUUAGGCGAGCUUGAUGCCGACGGAAGACUCGACUUCUUGCUCUAUAGCGUGAGUUAACUCGAUUGGUUGCUAUGUCAAUUAACGUAACGGAAGUUGUAGGUUGGCGGUUCGCAUUUCAUGUAUAGCGUUGGUCAUUUUCCGUGACACGUUAGUUUUAGGUUCACAAUACACUUCUAUUGUCACGUCGGUGCUCUACGAGCACUUGUACUGCUAUGACUGUUCAAGUAGCACGUUUCGUACUUUACCUCGCUCCCAGAAUAUCUUCUCCUAUAGUGUCUUACGUAUAGGGCACGUUUCCGGCUCUUUCAACAGCUACUCCACCUAAACUACCAACAUUUACUCGGGUGCUCCGGGGUUCUCUUAACGUCUCGUACGAACCUAUGCAAAAUCAGGGUACUGAUUUUCAUCACCCUGAUUUUGAACGAUCAGAGUAGGUACGAACCUAGGUUUAUGAUUUCUCUGAUUUUAGAUCAAUAACUCGUAAAUAAUAGGAGGUUUGGGAGGUUAGGUCUUGAUUCCUCUCCUUAAUUUACUCCUCUCUCUCUCGAUUAUGUAUAAAAUCAUCCAAAGGGUACUGAUUUUCUAAAAUCGGAGUUCUGAUCAGGAUCGGAGAAAAAUCAGUCCCCACGAACCUUGAAAUCGGAGAUUUUCUCUGAUAAAAAUCAGUCUGAUUUUUAUCAGGGAACAUAGGUUCGUGGGAGCGUUCGCAUCUCCUCUGUGGUUGUGUAGUCGACUCCUUCAAGGGCUCAACUUCUUCUCUUUCUAACCGCUCAGAAGAAGACGUUACCUUUUGAACCAUCGUCGGCUUUUCGUCUCCGUCGAACGUACAUGUUUAAGAUGGGUGGUGUUUCGAAAAGUGCAUGAAGAGGAUGGUUGUGCUACAUGGAUCCCCUCCUCCCCGUGGCUCGACACCUAGUGUGUUCCCCCCGAUACCCGUCGGACGAACUGUUCGAUCCGUUCGAGCAGUGCCUCCUGAUGUCAGAUCUAUGCUGGUAGUUCUCACUAUAGCUCAGAAAGAGUGUUCUAGACUCUUUCUACGUGGCUCUGGAGGGUUUCGACUUUUUACUAAUACUCCGGUUCUUGACCCAACUGCUUCAAUCUCUCGAACGAAUAUUGUAUCUCCUAUACCAGCUAUUGAAGGACCACGUGUAGCACGGAUUGAGGUCAUCCUCUCCGAAGUUCCUCUAGUACGUACUGUCACAUUUCGAUCACGUCUUACCGUACUGCUGAGUGGCAGUCUAAUCACUGCACUAAUCUCUUUAGUUCCGGUUACAAUUCUGAGACCUGUUUUCCUUUCUCUUCAUGUUGUAAUUACAGUUUCCACUACACCUAUUUCGUCGAUGGUUUCGGCGGUAACUGCUGGAAGCCUUAAGACGAUAUGUACUUCUUCUAUUUCUUGCUGAGCAACCGUAGUUUCGCGGUUCUCUCCUCUAUUAUUCCGAUGAAUUCUUCGUACUGUUACAUGGUUUACUUUUCGAGUCCCAUCAGAGAUAGCAACCUUACCCUCCUAACCCGUUCUGGUGCGAACGGUUCCGUCACAUACUGUUUAUGUUCGCAUUUUCUAUGUUAGGAUUUCACAAACAAGGUUACCCGGCCUUAGGGUUACAUCUCUGACAAAACUUCUUGUAAUAGAAACUUUAAUUUCUCCUAAAGUUACGUUUUCCCAACUUACACCCUGUCGAGUGUUUUUUUCAGUUUCUUAACGAAGCCUUACUCUCCACAGGUUUGCACUUAUUAUUACGUCUUCUUUUUAUCCAACUCCUUGUCUCCUAACGCACGGACGUCGAACUUCUCGCUGAACCCCCGCAGGACCGUCAGCCCCGCUCACCCCGAUCUAGUUACUCAUAUAGGCGUAGCAACAUCGUCCUACGAUUCUUGUAGUAGGGAGGUCAAGUAAGGCUAGGGAUAGCCGGUUUAACUUCUUUUAGCUAGGUUUGCUGUUGCUAACCCUGCAGUCUGGUCUACUCCCAACUAGUGGUCCGUCUCUGCCUAGUACUAGCUCUACGAGACUAAGUAGAGGAGUAAUUAGACACACUACACACAAGGUCUCUCUCUCCCUCUCUCUCUCUCUCUAAUGGUGUUGCGUUGUACCUAUCUGUAUCUCCUUAAUCUGGUAGCAACACGAGAGAAAGAGUCCGGUGCCGAUGAGGUAACAAGGGACCGGUGAGUACGAGAGAUCUCUGUACCCUUCGCCGACCGCGACACACUCCCGCUGCCUCCCACGGCCACCUAGCACAUAACCGCCAACUGAGACGGGACGGCCCCGAGCGUUUGAGGUAACCGGUGUAGCUGACUGGGGCAAGCGCUCCGCCUCCUCGUUUCCACUGGCGGGCUUCCUUCCUCCUUUGUCCCCACACCACACCCGCACACUGACGUCUACCUCUUCCCCUUGGUCGCCGCCUCGUCUGCCUCCGGCAAGCACUCUCCUUCACUUUCUCCUCCCAGCACCCCCACAACUCGCCCGCGGAAUCCCUAGCACCCUCGCAAAAGAAAAAGAAAAAGAAAAAUAGAAUGGACUUUUCACCCUUAGUAUCCCCCACCCUCCGACCAACCAACACUUACACCUAAGAAAAGAUCGCUAGAAAAUCCACGCCCUAAAGAGCUCCCCUCCUCGCUUCCUCCCCCUAACUUCCUCCAGCUUGGUAGUGCUGCAAGCUAGGGGGAAAUUAUCAUCUCUAACUUCUUAAGUCGAAUUUAUAAAAGAACUAAUGAACCGUGGUAGAUUAAACGUACGUAUAUACCAACACCGUAAGUUAUAUUCCGUAUGG
rnacentral:rRNA from 1 species